rnacentral:misc_RNA from 1 species
UUUUUUUUUUUGUUUUAAUUUUUGGGUUUUGAACGUUUUCUGAUUCUUGUUUGGAUCUGUUUGUUUCAUGGUUUUUUCUUAAAAAGCUGUUGAAUUCUGUUUUUGCUUGCCUAGUAUAAUUUGCUUAAUCAGUGGUGAUUUCCUUUACCUCUCUUCCUAUGAUACAGUAUCUUUGCCGAGUUCUCUCGUUUCUUAUGCCAAAACAGAUCAAGGGAACCUUACUUCUUUGCUUAUAUAUUUCAGG